GACGAACGCUGGCGGCGUGCCUAAUACAUGCAAGUCGAGCGCAGGAAACUGACGGAACUCUUCGGAGGGAAGGCAGCGGAAUGAGCGGCGGACGGGUGAGUAACACGUAAGGAACCUGCCUCAAGGAUUGGGAUAACUCCGAGAAAUCGGAGCUAAUACCGGAUAGUUCAACGGACCGCAUGGUCCGUUGAUGAAAGGCGCCCCGGCGUCACCUUGAGAUGGCCUUGCGGUGCAUUAGCUAGUUGGUGGGGUAACGGCCCACCAAGGCGACGAUGCAUAGCCGAGCUGAGAGGGUGAUCGGCCACACUGGGACUGAGACACGGCCCAGACUCCUACGGGAGGCAGCAGUAGGGAAUCUUCCACAAUGGACGAAAGUCUGAUGGAGCAACGCCGCGUGAGUGAUGAAGGUUUUCGGAUCGUAAAACUCUGUUGUAAGGGAAGAACACGUACGAGAGGAAAUGCUCGUACCUUGACGGUACCUUACGAGAAAGCCACGGCUAACUACGUGCCAGCAGCCGCAGUAAGAC
rnacentral:rRNA from 1 species